rnacentral:lncRNA from 1 species
GGCUUUACGAGACAGGGUUUCUCUGUGUAGCCCUGGCUGUCCUGGAACUCACUUUGUAGACCAGGCUGGCCUCAAACUCAGAAAUCCACCUGCUUCUGCCUCCCGAGUGCUGGGAUUAAAGGCGUGCACAACCACGCCCAGCUCUGCUUGUGGGUUUUCUAGUCUUAUUUUAUGUGCAUCCGUUUCUUCUCCAUGUAUGUAUAUGCACCACAUGCAUGCCUGGUGCCCACGGAGGUCAGAAGAGAGCAUUGGAGCCACUGGAAUUGGAGUUAUAGACAAGUGUGAUGCACCGUGUGGAUGCUGAGACUUGAACCUGGAUCUUCUGCAAGUGCAGCCAAUGUUGUUAACCAAGGAGGCCUGGUGCCAGGCACAGGAAAAAAUAUUUAGUUGCUCAGCUUCUCACUCAGUCUCGCACACACAAAUUAUGAGAGAAAAACACAUUUCUAAUAUAAGUUCACACAGCCUUUCUUCCUGUAUAUGAGGUUUUAGGACACAUGCCACUGUUGUUUUGUAUUUAGAAACAGUGUCACCACAGUCCCCCAGGCUGGCCUCCUGAGUGCUGGGUGACAGGAUGUGCUACCACCCCUGACCAAUAACUAACAGUACAGUAGCAGGUCAAUACAGCCACAGUUACUGACAAUCCUGAUAACGGAGGGGAGGUUUUCUUUUGGUUGUUAUUUCUCCUUUACUGUGUGACAUUUUGAUACAUGGAUUUAAGUAACGAUCAGGUCAGAGUAACUGGGAUAUCCAUUGUUUCAAUCAGUUACCAUUUCUCUUUAUGAGAGCUAGCCUGUCCCAUGCCAGGCUCCCUGGCCCUGACUUCUGACUCCCCCACCUCAGCUUUCCCACUGCUAAGACCAGCAGCUGCAACACUUGCCUGACUGUACUCUUUACUUCUGAGAGGACCAGUUUCAGGAAGUAGAAUUCCUCACUGGGAUCGCCACUGGUUAGCAGUGUCUUGCUUGCUUUUUCAUUGGGCGUUUUGAUUUGAGACAGGGUCUCCCCACAUAGCCUAGGCUGGCCCAGGACUGGCAAAUCUUCCUACUUCAGGCUCCCUGUGCUAGGAUUACAGGCACGAUCCACCACCCCCAAGCUGUGCAUUUUGAACUAAAAAUACCUGGUCAGUCUACAGCCAGCCAAUCCAAGAGCCAGCUUUAAGGGGGUGUCAUCCUGCAAUAGCAAUGGAGGGGGACUAGCACCGCACUGUACCCCCAACAUGUCUGAGCUUACAUAGCAUGAUCAGAGCACCUGGCUCCCACCCUGCCACACACAGCAGACAGACAGACAGACAGACAGACAGAGAUGCCCUUCACACUCAAAACAUCAGGGACAUUCUGAAACCUGAAGUCCCACCAGGGCUUUCUAGCUUCCCUCAUCCCAGGAAGCCCUAUAUACAGGUGUCGCAGGCCUUUAAGAUAAAUGUCACUUUGAGAUCUAGAAAUGGCUCCUGGCCAAGGCAAGCCGACUUUGACCAGCCAUAUGCGGGAGCCGCCGCUCUCAGGCACCAGUCCAGAAUGCUUACAGCUGAGCAGAUGAUCACUCUCUGAGCAUGCCCAACCCGCACAGACACACACACACACACCACACGUGCACACACCCACAGCGCCCACACAUCACCGCUGCACUCCAGACCUGAUAACGACUGCCAGCCAACCCUUGCAGGAUUACCCUGGGGAAUACACACUGAGGCCACAAAGGUUUAUGUAGGUUAAGUUAGCCAGUCUCUAGGCAACCCAUACUGCCCCCCCACCCCCACCUCCACAUACACAGAUAGAGGAGGUCGGCUAGGCAAGGUAUAACGUCUUUAAUCUCAGAAUUAGGAGGGCAGAGGCAAGCAGAUCUCUAUGAGUCCGAGGUCAGUAUGGUCUACACAGGCCAGUUCCAGGCCAGCCAGGGUUACAUAGUUAGACCCUGCUAGGACAGACGGACAGAAGGGAAGAAGGGAAACAAGGGGGCAUGUGUAUGGUGUGGUUCUGUGGUCUAAUACGGACCCAGGAUGUGCUUUACAAUUUUAUACUGCACAUAACCUGUGUGUGCGGAGGGAAGUAGGCUGUAGCUCGGUUGACAGCACCCUCUCCUAGCACCUAAAGCCUCAAGUUUGACAACCCCCACCCAACGCCCCCAGCACCCCGUGACAGGUUGUGAUGGUGCACACGUACGACCCCAGACCUUGGGGGAUGAAAAGAGCAUGCUCGUUCUGAGAAGAGCUGAAGGAAAAUUCAGGUCUCAUCAGAGAGAGCAGGGUCAGCAACCACACAGGUCACCCCCACCUGAGGCUGCAACACAAAGUCCUGCCUCUAGGGAGAGCCACAGGGCCAGAUUCCUAAACACACAUACACACGGACAAAAAGCACGUCAAGGCUAGCAUCUGCUUACCUGGCAGAAAGACUUCAUCUUAUCCAGAACCUUGUUCACCUCCGGCAUCACAUCUUUGCCGUCCACCUUGAUGGGUGUGUUGGACCGGUUCCGAAGGGCCACAUGCAGCACCGCCCGAUCCUAGAAAUGAAGGAGACUAUGAGGAGCACAGUAGACCCUAGAGCUAGACUGGUCCUAGGUGGGGAAGGUCCAAUGUAAGGCAGCCCUCUGCACAGCACAAGCAGGUCCAGGCAUCCAUUAACAUCAUCGUCUUGUAUAGAGGGCCUGGGAGGGAAAGCCAUUCUGGGACUCUGAGGAUAGGCAAUCCUGUGCCCCCCCUGCCCCCUUGUAUGCUGUGAACAUUCAGAAGCAGAUACAGAAGGACCUGAACAACCCCUAAGGGCCUGAAGGACCCCAGCGCAUGAAAGGCCUGACUGAAGAUGAGCAAUGUAUAGUGGUGACGACACAGACCAGAGAUGAGCAGUAAGCUCCUUCAGUCAUAAACUCAGCCCUCCUGAGGGGAGCGUUUCUUGUUUCUGGCACCUUCUAAAAAUGUCACAAGGCCUCAGGAUGUGAAGCAAGACAUGGAACAGAAGCUCCUCUCACCAAACAGUCUCACCACUGCCACAAACUAACCCAGAACAGAGGUCUUCAACAGGUGCCAAGCAGCUCACCUGGCCACAAGGGCAAAAGAGCAGCUAAAGACAAUAGCAAUUGGAAGGAAGCAGGUAUAAAGGUCCCAGAUGGUCAGGAAAGUGACCAAUCUAGACAGAGGUUCCUGUGUGGGGGAGGGUCUGAGGGUAGCCCACCUACCGUAUCUAUCUAUCUAGUCUCACUCCUUCCCAUGUUCCUCAAACAAAUGCACAUUCCACCCCCCCAAAGGAAGCCCCCCUCCCUCGACUGUGGCCUCCCUCAUAUCACACAAGCCCAGCCAUGCAAGAUCAGCUGCUUCUCAUUGCACCUCUGACCUCCAAGCCUUAGAUUCCUCAAAUGUAAAAAGACUCAGGGCUGAAGAGAAGGCUCAGUAGUUAAGAGCACAUACUUGCCAGGUGGUGGCACACACCUUUAGUCCCAGCACUCAGGAGGCAGAGGCAAGAGGCUCUCUUAUGAGUUCAAGGCCAGCCUGGUCUACAGAGUGAGUUCCAAGACAGUCAGGGCUACACAGAGAAACCCUGUCUCAAAAGCCAACCAACCAACCAACCAAAAAGAGCACAUACUCCUCUUCUAAAAAGCCAGAGUUGGAUUCCCAGUACACACCCCGGGUGGCUCCCAACCAUCUCUAACUGAAGUUCCGGGAGAAUCUGACAGCUCUGUAGGCACCUGUACUUAUGUACAUACACCCACAUACUCAUAAUUAGAAGGAAAAAAAUAUCGACACUGAGAAUUCUCAGUGUGGAGUGUCUCCUAUGCCAGCAGGCUUCUCCAUCAAGUCAGGGCCAGGAUUUCCCAACCCCUGUCAUACUCUCACCUUUUAUUCAUUCCACUGUCAAAGAAACUAAGGGCUUUGGUGACAUGAUUUUUCUUGUCACUAGAACAACCUGUAGCAAGGAUUCAUUAGAGUAUCAAGGCUGAAGUUCUCCAAGAAAAUGUCUCAGCCAGCCUUAAGCCAAUCCCUCCCUUCAGGCUUGGGUUGUGCCCCUCCCUGGACACCAGGAACUGUGCCAAUUUGCUUGCCAAGUCCAGGCUGCCAGUCUCAGAGAAAUCACACCCCAAAGCUCUGCAACCUCCCUUGCCCCCAAAGAAAAGCCUUUAGCACCUUCGUGAGGCAAAAGCAUUGCUUAAGAGCAAGGGUGAAGACACAGGGCGAUGCUGAUAACGGUCAGCAAAGAGGAGACUGACAGAUGUUCUUCAUAGCCAGAUUCCUUUUCCACCACCUUCAAAGAGUCUGCUCAAUCGGCAGGGCCUGGAGAUCCCUGGGAUACCAACUCCACACCUGGACCUAGAACCCAAAACAAAGCGCAGCCCCCCCCCCAACCCAAACCAGAGAUCACAACUCCCCAGUCAGAACAUUACCAGCUCCACCAGCAUCUGCAUCACCUCCUUGUUCACAAGGUUCUUGGAGUAAUCCACCAGAAUAUGCCCAUGGUUGGUGUUGAGGUUCAAGCUGCAGAAAGAUGGAGACGCUGCUGGUCACACCCCAGCGGCAGUGCCUGGCCACAAAGGCUGACCUGUAGCAGUGUUAAGUAGUGUAGAAAGCCAUGCCACAGAAAGAAGAUGGAGACAGAUCCUGGGCAGAGCUUCCCCCUUCAAGCUCCACAUCUCAAACUUACAAGGGAACACCCAGGGAGAGGUAUCAGGGACUUCCAGUGAGGAACCACAGGUGGUCAUCCCAGGUCCCUCGCCUCCCGGCAUCGGUGACAAGGCACGGGGAUGCAUCACAUGUACGAUUUCUUCCACCUUCCCUUCUAUUUCGCAGUCGCUCUCAAGUCUCUCUGGCCUCUGCAUCCUGCCUCCGCCGCUCUAUUUUUUACACCGUGGCUCCCAAGAAAUCUCAGCCUACCCACCCUGUCUGACCAAAGCCCACUAGGAGCAGGUGGGAGGGGACAGCUCUGUCGUGCCUGUCGAGCCAGCAGCGGCUGCUCCUCCUCAUGGAUGGUUAGCAAUUCCUACUCAAAUGGCUGAGACUGAGAGGCGGGGGCGAAGGGAUCCCCAAGGAGGAGCCGAUUCCUCCUAAUGACUAAGCAGCCUCGGCCCUCUGGCUAGCACGCGGGUCCCAAUACCCACUCCAAGGAGGCAUCAAGGACAAAGUGCGGCCCCGGCCUGGGCCCUGCGGGGCUGCUGGGGGAUCCCGGGAGCCCCGACCCCGUGCGUGCACCUGAAGUUGUUGAAACGCUCCGGAUCCGCCUCAAAAAGUUGGCGCAGCUUGAGGUUGGCAGAGUUUGCGCGGUGCCACUCCAGCAGCUUCUGGAACUGCGGGUUCUGGGUGAGCGCAGCCAUGGCGGGGGACCCGAGAGGUACAC